AUUAAAUGAAAAUAACUAGCGCCCUUACGACGACACCGCGGAUAAAAUGUACCUCUUAAAUAACGUGUCGUGCGAUUUCGGCAAUUCCAUUACAAUUAUUAUGCGAAAAGAGUUUUUACAAUCGAGUUACGGGCGGUCCACCCAUGUUGUUAAACAUACACAAGGCCGUCCGAAUGGGACACGUAAAAAUUCACCGCGCGUCGAAUAUUAUUGUUGUGACAGAAUAAUCAGAGUUCGAUAACAACGCAAUAUUGUUAUGAAAAUUGAACACACGCCCAUAGAUUAAACAAAAGUUUUUACUCCCACACAUAAUUAAACGUGUAACGCAUAUAAUAAUACAAGAUUCGCAACGAAGAAAAGCGGAGCGGAGCGAUAAACGUAUUGACUGUA